ensembl:snRNA U6 U6 spliceosomal RNA
GUGCUCACUUCAGCAGCACCUAUACUAAAACUGGAAUGAUAUGGAGAAGGUUAGCAAGGCCCUGUGCCAGGAUUUAGCUAUGUACUGUGUAAAACGUAAUUCUUAA